UUGACCUCGAAUCAGGUAGGGAUACCCGCUGAACUUAAGCAUAUCAAUAAGCGGAGGAAAAGAAACCAACCGGGAUUACCUCAGUAACGGCGAGUGAAGCGGUAACAGCUCAAAUUUGAAAUCUGGCUCCUGCGGAGUCCGAGUUGUAAUUUGUAGAAGAUGCUUUGGGAGGUAGGGCCGGCCUAAGUUCCUUGGAACAGGACAUCAGAGAGGGUGAGAAUCCCGUAUGCGGCCGCGGCCUACGCCCGUGUAAAGCUCUUUCGACGAGUCGAGUUGUUUGGGAAUGCAGCUCAAAAUGGGUGGUAAAUUUCAUCUAAAGCUAAAUAUUGGCCAGAGACCGAUAGCGCACAAGUAGAGUGAUCGAAAGAUGAAAAGCACUUUGGAAAGAGAGUUAAACAGUACGUGAAAUUGUUGAAAGGGAAGCGCUUGCACCCAGACUUGGGCGUCGUCGAUCAUCCGAGGUUCUCCUCGGUGCACUCGACGAUGCACAGGCCAGCAUCGGUUUGGGUGGUUGGAGAAAGGCUCUAGGAACGUAGCUCUCUUCGGGGAGUGUUAUAGCCUAGGGCGUAAUGCAGCCCAUCCGGACCGAGGACCGCGCCUUCGGGCUAGGAUGCUGGCGUAAUGGUUGUAAGCGACCCGUCUUGAAACACGGACCAAGGAGUCUAACAUCUAUGCGAGUGUUUGGGCGUUAAACCCAUACGCGGAAUGAAAGUGAACGUAGGUGAGAACCCGUUAGGGUGCAUCAUCGACCG
rnacentral:rRNA from 1 species